AUACUUACCUGGCAGGGGAGAUACCACCAUCACGAAGGUGGUUUCCCCAGGGCAAGGCUUAUCCAUUGUACUCCGGAUGUGCUGACCCCUGCGGUGGGAAACUCAGUGCAUAAUUUGUGGUAGUGGGGGGGGGGGGGAAGUUUACAUAUAGUUCUUUU